AUUUUCUUUUUCUUUUUUAUUCAUUUAAUUUUCUUUUCUUCCAAAAUUAAUUUUAAAUAGCUCCUUUAUUAUUUUUUAGUCCAACAUUUUUUCAUAAUUUCAUAAAAAUAUUUUGUAUCACAUACAAUUUUUACAUAACUUUUAAAAUCAUUUUUGCCUUUAAUUCAUAUCUUCUCUUAUAUUUAAUAUAAUUUUCUUUUAGCAUUUUUGUUUUAUUUAUUUUUAAACAUUUUUCAUCCUAACUUUUGAGGUCAAGUCACUCUUAAUUUUUUU
rnacentral:lncRNA from 1 species